rnacentral:rRNA from 1 species
GACGAACGCUGGCGGCGUGCCUAAUACAUGCAAGUAGGACGCAGUUGCGAACGGGUGAGUAACGCGUAGGUAACUACCUAUUAGAGGGGGAUAACUAUUGGAAACGAUAGCUAAUACCGCAUACUAGUAGCUGGACCUGCGUUGUAUUAGCUAGUAGGUAGGGGAAUGGCCUACCUAGGCAACGAUACAUCGCCGGCCAGGGAGGGUGAUCGGGCAAAAUUGGAAUGGUGCCAGGCCCAGACUCCUACGGGAAGCAGCAGGAGGGAAUCAUCGGCAAUGGGGGGAACCCUGACCGAGCAACGCCGCGUGGGUGAAGAAGGUUUUCGGAUCGUAAAGCUCUGUUGUUAAGGAAGCGGUACUUAACCAGAAAGGGACGGCUAACUACGUGCCAGCAGCCGCGGUAAUAC